rfam:Babesia microti strain RI chromosome I, complete genome.
GGCAGCUUGGCCGAGUGGUUAAGGCGACAGACUGGAAAUCUGUUGGGCUCUGCCCGCGCAGGUUCGAAUCCUGCAGCUGUCG